rnacentral:rRNA from 1 species
AUUGAACGCUGGCGGCAGGCCUAACACAUGCAAGUCGAGCGAGCGGCGGCCGGGUGAGUAAUGCCUGGGAAUUGCCCAGUCGAGGGGGAUAACAGUUGGAAACGACUGCUAAUACCGCAUACGAUUUGAUUGCCCAGGUGGGAUUAGCUAGUUGGUGAGGUAAUGGCUCACCAAGGCAACCAUCCCUAGCUGGACUGAGAGGAGGAUCGACCACACUGGCACUGAGACACGGUCCAGACGCCUACGGGAGGCAGCAGUGGGGAAUAUUGCACAAUGGGGGAAACCCUGAUGCAGCCAUGCCGCGUGUGUGAAGAAGGCCUUCGGGUUGUAAAGCACUUUCAUCGAGGAGGCGUUACUCGCAGAGAAAGCGACGGCUAACUCCGUGCCAGCCGCCGCGGUAAUAC